AUGGGAACGCGAAGAACCUUACCUAGACUUGACAUCUUCUGCAUUAAUCGUAAUGGAUGAAAUCCCUUCGGGGACAGAAUGACAGGUGGUGCAUGGUUGUCGUCAGCUCGUGUCGUGAGAUGUUGGGUUAAGUCCCGCAACGAGCGCAACCCCUAUUAUUAGUUGCUAACAUUAAGUUGAGCACUCUAGUGAGACUGCCCGGGUUAACCGGGUAGGAAGGUGGGGAGUGACGUCAAAUACAUCAUGCCCCUUACUGUCUAGGGCUACACACGUGCUACAAUGGUGGGAACAAAAGAGAUGCAAUAACCGCAAGGUGGAGCUAAAACUACAAAACCCCAACUCCACGUUCGGAUUGUAGGCUGAAACUACGCCUACAUGAAGCUGGAGUUGCUAG
rnacentral:rRNA from 1 species